UCGGACGUGGUGCACGGCGCACACCCGCUCUUCUUAUGGUUGACAAAUAGGUGAAAGUGGGAGGCCUGGGUUCGACUCCCAGCUUCCGAA